AUUGAACGCUGGCGGCAUGCCUUACACAUGCAAGUCGAACGGUAACAGGUCUUCGGAUGCUGACGAGUGGCGAACGGGUGAGUAAUACAUCGGAACGUGCCUAGUAGUGGGGGAUAACUACUCGAAAGAGUGGCUAAUACCGCAUGAGAUCUACGGAUGAAAGCAGGGGAUCGCAAGACCUUGUGCUACUAGAGCGGCCGAUGGCAGAUUAGGUAGUUGGUGGGAUAAAAGCUUACCAAGCCGACGAUCUGUAGCUGGUCUGAGAGGACGAUCAACCACGCUGGGACUGAGACACGGCCCAGACUCCUACGGGAGGCAGCAGUGGGGAAUUUUGGACAAUGGGCGCAAGCCUGAUCCAGCAAUGCCGCGUGCAGGAUGAAGGCCUUCGGGUUGUAAACUGCUUUUGUACGGAACGAAAAGCCCUGGGUUAAUACCCUGGGGUCAUGACGGUACCGUAAGAAUAAGCACCGGCUAACUACGUGCCAGCCGCCGCCGUGAAAC
rnacentral:rRNA from 1 species